rnacentral:rRNA from 1 species
UACGUAGGGUGCAAGCGUUGUCCGGAAUUAUUGGGCGUAAAGAGCUCGUAGGUGGCCUGUCGCGUCGGCUGUGAAAACUCGGGGCUCAACUCCGAGCUUGCAGUCGAUACGGGCAGGCUAGAGUUCGGCAGGGGAGACUGGAAUUCCUGGUGUAGCGGUGAAAUGCGCAGAUAUCGGGAAGAACACCCGUGGCGAAGGCGGCUCUCUGGAGCGCAACUGACGCUGAGACGCGAAAGCGUGGGGAGCAAACAGG